AAACAUGCUUUUUCUUAUAUAUUAUAUGUGUUGGGUUUUCUUUUAUUAAAUCUUUAUUAGAUUCUGGCUCCUAGUUUUGUACUAGAAGAGCUUGUUGAAUCCUGGGGGAUACAUCCAUACCGUGUGAAAUAUCCUUAAGGCCAGUGUCUUAAUUGACAUGCCUCAAGCUUUCAAGAAUUUCCUGCAAGUUCUUGAUCAAAUAUUUUCCGACAUGGUUCGUGAUCAAGUAUUUUCCGUGGUGUAUUGCUCUGCAGAAUACACUUGAUGAUUGGAACUAUAUGAGUGUGGAGUGGUGCCGCUCCUAUGAGAUUUUAACAGAUUUCUAGAGCACUCAUGAAUAUCAGGACACGCACAUGGCCUCUUAGCGCAAAACCGCGAUAGCGACAAAGAUUGUGCCAAAAUAAUGUGAUAGAAUAAGACCAUGGGCUUAUAAAAGAAUUCUUGGUUCAUAGAAGUCCUAAACUUCACCAAUUGUUCUGUAAGUAUAAUCUUGUUUUAUAUAGGUCUGGUUCAUAGUCUACGUGACACGUAUUCGAUGCAUUGUAUUCAUAUAUAUGUGGAAAUCCCAGCAGAACUUUUAAUUUUUAUACAUUACUUAUUAUUCUUUUUGAGAUAUGUGGGGGAUUGUUGUGAAAAAUUGAGUUUAAUAUCUCAAAAAGAAGUCUUCAACUCAUGUCUAAAUUCAUUAUUUUAAUAUUAAAUUGAUGAGUAUUGAUAUUAUCCUUAA